UACGUAGGGACCGAGCGUUGUCCGGAAUCAUUGGGCGUAAAGAGCGUGUAGGCGGCCAGGUAGGUCUGCUGUGAAAACUCGAGGCUCAACCUCGAGAUGUCGGCGGAAACCAUCUGGCUAGAGUCCGGAAGAGGAGAGUGGAAUUCCUGGUGUAGCGGUGAAAUGCGCAGAUAUCAGGAAGAACACCCGUGGCGAAGGCGGCGUCUCUGGGACGGUACUGACGCUGAGACGCGAAAGCGUGGGGAGCGAACAGG
rnacentral:rRNA from 1 species